rnacentral:rRNA from 1 species
GACGUAGGGGGGCGAGCGUUGUCCGGAUUUAUUGGGCGUAAAGCGCGCGCAGGCGGUUCGGAUAGUCGGAUGUGAAAAUCCGGGGCUCAACCCCGGACCUGCACCCGAUACUCCCGGACUGGAGGCAGGUAGGGGAGAGCGGAAUUCCCGGUGUAGCGGUGAAAUGCGCAGAUGAUCGGGAAGAACACCGGUGGCGGAAGGCGCGUGCUCUCGGGCC